GGUGUCGCUGGCGCUGCUGGGCUCGGAGCAGAGCGAGGCGGCGGGCGUGCUCUACCGCAAGCUCACGCACGUGACUCCAUCAUCCACAACUACGGGCUGCAGCUCAACGAGGGCCGCACGGGCGAUGAGUUCCUGCUGCCGUUCACCAUGUCCUCCAACCACCGCGCCUUCAGCUUCCACCAGAAGCAGGUGCUGUGCCAGGAGCUCACGCAGAUCCAGAGCAGCCUGAACGGCGGCGGGGGCCACCUGCCUGGCCUGCCACAAGCAUUUUUGAAACAUUGGGGUUGUUGGAGUGGUUGGAUUUUCCCUGGAAUUGAGUGAGAAAUUCAGAAGACUGAAGCCCAGGCUUACUGUCUACCUUUCACGGAGGCCUAGCCGUGAGAGGACAGAAGAAGGCAUGUGGCGAAUCAUGACAGCAGACAAAGACAAAGAGAAGGACCGGGACUGAGACUGGGACUGAGAGAGAGAGAAAAGAGACAAAGCAAGAGAGAGUGAGAAUUCAAGGCCACGCCGGAGCUGUACCUUGGAAGGAGGAGCCAAAAAUUAUGCUGAGAGUGAUCACAGUGAAGACGAGGACAAUGACAACAAUAGUGCCACCACAGAGGAGUCCACGAAGAAGAACAAGAAGAAACCACCGAAGAAAACGUCUCGUUAUGAAAGGACAGAUACCGGCGAGAUAACAUCCUACAUCACUGAAGAUGAUGUUGUCUACAGACCAGGAGACUGUGUGUAUAUCGAGAGUUGGAGGCCAAACACACUGUAUUUCAUCUGUAGCAUUCAAGACUUCAAACUGGUAAGCAUUUU